UGCAUGUGGGUGUCUUACUAAUGACAAUAGU
rnacentral:piRNA from 1 species